UAAUUUAUUUACAUUUAACCAUCAUUUAACUCCGGACACGAAUGCCACAGGGGUGGUAAAGUGUCCCAAAUAAAUACUAAUAAUAAUAAUCGUUUAACUUUCUUAUAUAAAAUUUUAUUAACUAUAACACAAAAUAACUAUCUAAAUUUAUAUUAAUAACUGUAUAUCAUAAUAUAUUUUUAUAACUAUAAUAAUUUUCUCUCUCAAUAUUAUUCAGUUUUACUACAGCUAAUACAUAAAGAUUCUAAUUUGGGAAUAUUUGUUUUCCGUGUUAAUAACAAAGACAUUGAUCUAAUUAAAACUAAAUAUUGUAUAUAUACAAGAAUAUUAAAAAUAAAUAAUAUUAAAACCAACAAAAAAAAACAAAACAUUUUUAGGUACACCACAAAGGGUAUUUAUCAGGUAAGUGUUAAAAAAAAAAAAUGAGUACUCCAACCGAUCGCAUAUUUGCUUUGAACGCGUUAUCCAUUUGUAGAUUGUGUUUUAGACAAAAAAGAGGCCUUAUAGAUAUACAAACGGAAUUAUUACUCAAUAAUCUGAUUGUGGGGUAUCUAGGGAAAGGAUCGUAUCUUAGUGACAUGGUUACUAGGAAAAUUUGCAAGAAAUGUUCAAACAGAAUAAAAAACAUUGAUGCAUGUGUAAAAUUUUUUAAAGAGGUAGAUGAAGUUAUGGAAGCAUUUAUUGAAAAUGGAUCAAUAAUUCCUAUCAUAAAUGUACCAAAGCAUGUUGGCAAAAUUGACAGACAAAUUUAAAAAAUCAUAUCAAAAGCUACACAAUGCGAUGAAAUUUCAAAUAAUCAAAAUUUAGAUCUGGAAAGGCAAGAAAAUGAACAACGAAAUAUAAACUCAGAAUCAGAGGCUGAUACGACACCGUUAAAAUUGGAAGAGCAGAUAAAUGCUAAUUCGCAAAAAAAUCAAUUCGACCAAGGCAUACCAAUGGAUAUAGAUGAAGAUGAAGAUUUAAUAUGGCAAGAAGAACUGUCAUCGGAAAUUGACGUUAAAGAAUUCAUGAUAGAUAAUUGGACCUAUGAUGUGGAUGAAUAUAAAAACACUGAAUUAAGAUCAAAUGAAUCUGAGGAAUAUAUUUCCGAAUAGAAGUAACAUUCUGUACCAUGAUGCCACAUUCUAAAUCAUGAAAAAGUUUUAUCAAAUUAUUUAAGUUUGUUUGUUUGAAGAAAUGAUUGGACAAGGUUAGUGCACACCAGAAUGAAUGCGCAGGGUAUGGACACGAGAUGUUUGAGGAUGAAAAAUAUGGAAUUGUUUUUAUCACAUUUCCGAGGUACAGAAUGUCAAUGGUAUGGUAAACCAAGCUACCACCAGGAAUACAACAUUCCUGAUUCAUCAAGGUACUGUAUCUUACGAUACUAAAAAGUUCUUGAAUGAAUAAGACAAUAAUAAUAAACAAAAUGAGCAUGCCAUGAAGCAUGAAAUAUCCACAAAUAUAAGAAAAAUGAGAAUAAGUACAAGAAUAAACGAAAAUGGCAGGGUCUGGUAAACCAAGCUACCACCAGGAAUGAAGCAUUCCUGAUUCAUCAAGGUACUGUAUCCAAGGAUAUAAAUAGUUCUUGAAUGAAUAUCAAAUGAGCCAUGAAAAAAAAAACAAGCAAUACCUAAGGUCCAGAAAUAAAAAAAAUAAUAAUAAUAAUAAAAAGAUGGUCUGGUCUGGUAAACCAAGCUACCACCAGGAAUUGAAACAUUCCUGAUUCGUCAAGGUACUGUAUCCAGUGAUACAAAUAGUUCUUGAAUGAAUAACAUGACCAUGAAACAAGAAACAAUUCCAAAUGAAUUCGUAAUGGUAAACUAAUAAAAAUAUAAAAGGGUUCGGUUUGGUAUACCCAGUUACCGCCAGGAAAAAAAAAACAACUUCCUGAUUUCAUCAAGGUACGGUACUGUAACAGUACGAUAAAGUUCUUGAAUGAAAAAAAAAAACACAGCCAAAUAUUGCUCCCAAAGAUAAGAAAAAGACUGUAAAUCUUGCCUAUUCCAAAUAUUUUCAAUAAAAAAAAAAAAAGAAUAAUAAGAGUAACAAGAAUAUAUAAAAAGAUUUACUUCGAACAUGCAUCAAUGAUUGAAUCGAUAAUUUAUGGCCUGAAAUCAAUGUAUUAAGGGAAAAAUAGGAAAAAGUGCUAAAAUCAAAAAUAAAAUCUAAUAAAUUGUUUAUUUAUCUACAGAAGGAAGAUGCAUAGAAAAGCCGAAUUUUCUUAUUCAACAGUACAAACAACAAACACGUUCUAGAGAAGAGAUAGAUGUAAAAGAUCAAAGGCGACAAACACGGGAUGAAGAAGAAGCGAUCGUGCAGUGGAUGUUUAAGAACGAAUGUGGGUAAGAAAUCAGCAGACUCAUCAACAUAUAUAUUUUUUUUUUCAGGAUCAAUUGUAAGAGCUAAGUUCUCUUUUACCGAAAAGUACAAAAUUAGAAAAUAUCGUCACAUAAAAAAUAUAGGGACGUGGGGAUUAUUUUUGCGAAAGUAAUUUUUAAAUGUUAAAAAUGUUAAAGUUGAAAACUUUUUAAUAAACUGUGUUAAAUAAGAAUUUUACAAAAAUCUUUAGAAAGGGAUAUUUAUUUUAUUUCCAACAAUUUUAAAUGUUGGAGAAUUAUUUUUUUCCAUUUAUGCUGGGGGAUGAAAAUUUCAAUUAGCAUGGUUUUUGUCAAUUAAGGGAAUUUGUUGGAAUUUUUUUUCAUAACAAUUCAUUAAAACGUGUGUUCAAUAAAAAUAAAUCAAUUGUAAAGUGCUCAUAAUCAAUAACCAAAAUAGUCGUUUGAAGCUUUUAGAUGAAUAAGAAUCAAGAGAAAACGUAGGCCAUUAGGAAGUGUGAAUAAUAAGACAAUAAUUCAAAGGCAACAAGUUUCAACCAUACAAACAUGGAUGUAUGGUAAAUGAAAGAAAAAGUUCCAGAAAUCAGCAACCAGAGGUCAACGAGCAACAUCGAAACCGUAUUAACAGGGAUGUACGGUAAUUGAAAGAAAAGUUCCAGCAUCAACAACGAGUUCAUGAUUGGCGAGUCGAUUAGGUUGGUCAAAAGGGUAAACUGAGCAUCAAACAUCAAACAUCAGGGUCAACGGAACAUAUCUUCUACAGUCAAAGCAAAUUGUUGCAGAAAGUGUAAAUACGCGGAUUUCAAUCUCUUGGGAAGGAAAAUGAUCACAUAUACUUUACAACUAACCCGGUUUAUCUUUUACAAACAAAUAAAUCAUUUCCUAUAAUACCAAUUCUCGGACGAGAAAACAUCAAAAUUCUUGUAGCCGGCAAUUAUUAAUGGAUGAUUCAACAAUAGCAUAACUCUACAAGUUGCAUCUGACACUAACAACAAACAAUUUCCACCAAAGAAAUAGUCAAAAUGUUCUUAAGCUGAGCAAGUAACAACAACACAACCAAUUAGAGGAAGGAUGACAUUAAAUGCAUUAACGACAAAUACAACAAACAUUUCAGCAGAAAAAGCCACAUUUUCUAGCUGUCGUCACAUACGCAAAUUUCAACAGCAUCCUAGGCAGCUAGCACCAAAUAUUAAUUUGGAUAUACCGAAAAAAAAAAAAUAACAACAAACUCAAUCAUCGAAACA